ensembl:lncRNA
GUUCAUAAAUGACCAGCAUGGUCAUAUAAUAAUAAGGCAGAACAGUUGAAACUGGAGCAGCAGCACGGUCAGGUGGACUGGGGACAGCAAGGAGUCAUCAUGUCAGGCAGUCCCGGGGCAUGGUCCCAGGGCCCAGGUCAGUUGAAACUGGAGCAGCAGCAUGGUCAGGUGGACUGGGGACAGCAACGAGUCACCUUGUCAGGUAGUCCUGGGGCAUGGUCCUAGGGCUCAGGUCCUCCUCCGAGAGAGAGAGAAAGAGAGAAUUAGAGAACGCACACUUAGAUUCACACAGGACACCGAAUAGGACAGGAGAGGUACUCCAGAUAUAACAAACUAACCCUAGCCCCCAGACACAUAAACUACUGCAGCAUAAAUACUGGAGGCUGAGACAGGAGGGGUCAGGAGACACUGUGGCCCCAUCCGAGGACACCCCCGGACAGGGCCAAACAGGAAGGAUAUAACCCCACCCACUUUGCCAAAGCACAGCCCCCACACCACUAGAGGGAUAUCUUCAACCAUCAACUUACCAUCCUGAGACAAGGCUGAGUAUAGCCCACAAAGAUCUCCGCCACGGCACAACCCAAGGGGGGUGCCAACCCAGACAGGAUGACCAUCCUGGACAGCUUCCUCUUCAUAUAAUCCUGGACAGUUUCCUCUUCAUAUAAUCCCGGACAGCUUCCUCUUCAGAAAAUCCUGGACAACCUCCUCUUCAGAUAAUCCUGGACAGCUUCCUAUUUAUUUAGCCCUGGGUAGAUUCCUUUUUAUAUAACCCUGGACAGAUUCCUCUUUAUAUAACCCUGGGUUACUGUCUACCUCCUCUUCAUGGACAUACAGACACAGGACAGCACAGGGAUCAGGCAUAAUCAGAAUGCCGCUCAGACAGUGUGUACAUGCAUAUGGACCAGACUGUACCAGUAUCUCCCAUUAAAAAUUGGUAUGAAACCUCUGCCAACAUAUAAGUCUUGUUUAUAUGGGUGUUUUGGGUAAUUUUGUUCUCUGGUUGGACAGAAUCUUCCUUCUGAAACAUGCUAUUGUAGAUCUGCUUCUUUCCUAAGAGUAUGUAACUGUCAGUUCAAUUUUUCUUUGUAUCACUGAAAGCCUUCAAUAAUGCCUGGAAUACAUGUCUGGAAUACAAAACCAUUAAUGAAUUUGAUUUUAUUUAACUGUAAGUCAUCUAAGCGGAAUGUAAAGAAAGAUCUUGGGACAUUGAGACACUUUUUACAGGACAGGUAAACCGGAGUUGUGUGUGUGUUUCACAGCCAGUCACGGCUACAAAGUUACAACAUGCAUUGAUAG